UUUACGUGGUUUUCCCUUCUUUCCAUGCUUAACAGGAUGAAGAUCGCCCGGCUGAUAUGAAAACACGCACCCAUCAUCCCAUUACAUUUUUUUCUGUGUGGACUGGAAAUGACUGGAGGAUUUUCACGCAGGUUAAAAUCCAUGGCAAGGACUGGAGGGCAGCAGGCAAGAGAAAGAGACAAGGUGGCUGGAAUUGGAAGCUUACAUCCUGAAGUGCAAGCAGAAAGCAGAAAGUAAACUGCAUGUGGUAAAGACACUUCAUCUCAAAACCUGGCCCUCAUGAUGUACUUCAUCUAAGCUGUACCUCAGCCUCCCCAGACUGGCAUCAUCAACCAGGGACCAAGUGUUCCAGUGCCCAAAAUUAUGUGAAACCUUCCUUUUAAAGUCAUCAGACCAUCCAGUAUGGAAGAGAGGCACAUUACAAGGAGAAAACACAUGGUUCUGGGUUGAAGAUGGCAGCUGGAGAUCUUUGUGAAUGGCCAAGCAGGAUGUAAGAAAAGGCCAAGACGUGGACUGGAUGGUCUUCAGCAGCCACCUUGCUAACUAGCUCUUGUAAUCCAGAUCAGGUUGGAUGAGUGACUUAGAGGGAAAUGAUGGAUCUGACUUCACCGUGGAUCUGACGUCACCUAGUCCAUGAAGUUUUCUGCCUAAAAAGAUUUGAAGGUCCAAUAAAA
rnacentral:sRNA from 1 species